UUCAGCUGGUCUUGUUUGGACUUGAUUGCAACCGAAUCGAACCAGUAAUUGUUGAUGUUGGGCUUCGGAAGGAUUUUGACCGGUUGAUAGAUAUUCAGAAUUCGGUCUUCGUGGCGGUGGAGGAGGAGGACGAGACGCAUGAAUCCGACGGGCCAGGUCUUCGUGGCGGAAAACGGGACCAGAAGGAACCGAGCUUAUGGAGGAUAUGGUUCAUUCCAAAGAAGGAGGAGGAUGAAACACCGAUUGUCAAAAGUUCUACCCAAGGUAACCAACAAUUUUCCAAUCUGAUCCUGCUAACAAACCAGCGUCUUCGUGUUGUCCCACGCAGUUUGUUGAACGGAAGCUGUAACGACCGCAAAAACAUCUGCUUCGGAAGUGCGUAAACCGACGUUGUCCCGUACUCCGGUGGCCAUCAAUCCAUGGGACAUAAACGGUGGCGCCGCACCCCGCCGUAUCUGCGGCUAGUCGGAGAACAAUAGUCAAUCUUGAUCAAGAUGCUGCCUCGCACGCUGGCGUCGGCUCGAAAAGAUGGCUGGCAAAUUCCGGACCCGGAAGACAACGCCAAAAACUUCCGGCCAAGAUGCCGAGAGAUGAGCAGAAAGACCAACUGGAAGGCAACGCCAAAAACUACGUGGAGAU
rnacentral:lncRNA from 1 species